CGGGUGAGUAACGCGUGGAAAACCUGCCGUAUACUGGUGGAUAACACUUAGAAAUAGGUGCUAAUACCGCAUAAGCGCACAGCUUCGCAUGAAGCGGUGUGAAAAACUCUGGUGGUAUACGAUGGUUCCGCGUCUGAUUAGCUAGUUGGUGGGGUAAUGGCCUACCAAGGCAAUGAUCAGUAGCCGGCCUGAGAGGGUGAACGGCCACAUUGGGACUGAGACACGGCCCAAACUCCUACGGAAGGCAGCAG
rnacentral:rRNA from 1 species